GGUGCGACCGGAUGAUGGUUCACAACGACCGUACAGUUUUUUCAACGGGUCGGUGGGACUUUCGUCCGUUUGUAAC
rfam:Drosophila mojavensis strain TSC#15081-1352.22 Ctg01_10249, whole genome shotgun sequence.